rnacentral:rRNA from 1 species
UACGGAGGGAGCUAGCGUUGUUCGGAAUUACUGGGCGUAAAGCGCACGUAGGCGGCUUUGUAAGUUAGAGGUGAAAUCCCGAGGCUCAACCUCGGAACUGCCUUUGAUACUGGCGAUCUUCGAGUCCGGGAGAGGUGAGUGGAACUCCGAGUGUAGAGGUGAAAUUCGUAGAUAUUCGGAAGAACACCAGUGGCGAAGGCGGCUCACUGGCCCGGUACUGACGCUUAAGAGCGAAAGCGUGGGGAGCAAACAGG